UGAUACACACGCUUCUUUACAAACUUAAAACACAGAUUCAAAAUUUGAAUUUCAAAUCAUAUCCUACUCUUUUUCUCCUUUACAUUUGAUUAUCUUAGCCUCUCUCCCUCUCUUAAGCAUCCAAUCAUCUUAAUUUCUAUUUCAAUUCUUUAUUCGUUCUCUAUCCUUUGAUUUUUUUUUUAAAAAUUUGUCGUGACUUAAUUUCAUUGUAUACAACUCUACUUAUUUGAAAAAUAAAACUAACGAAUUCUCGAUGUUAAUUUUUUCAGAUUUGUGGCUGGAAAUCAAGCAUAGGAGGAUCUACUCGCAAAAGAUGUGAAUGAAUAUAAGGUUGAUUUAUUACAGAACAUGUAUGUGAUCGAUUCAGUUCAUUUCUAUGAGGGUGGAGCUGCAGCAUGGUGCAUUGACUUUCAGAAACUUCAAGGUCAUGAUAUUACAAUUUUAGGAGGUUGUGCGAAUAUAUUUUUGGUGAAGCAAGUAUGAAGCCUAAAUCAAAGAUUUUAUUGCAGUGUGAAGGAACAAGUCCUUGAAAGUUUCCAUGAUACAGAGUUUUGGUAUGCAGAACAAGGUAGCAUGUCAGGAAAUUUAACACGUUCAGGCUCAAUGAGGAGGAUCAUUCCUCCGCCUCAGCAUACAGAACUGAAGUUGUGGCUGCCAGUUCUUUGUCUACCUUCCAACGGCCUUUCUGAUGAGUGAAAAAAGCAUUUACGACACCAAAGCAAUUGCACUAAUUAUAUUCUUAAACCAGUGAUGACAAUUAACAGUAGCGUUCUUGCUGAGAUGGAAAUCCCGAUACAUAUAUGACAUCUAUUUCUAAGCUAUGGAAGAGUGCCAAAGUCUCGGCUUUACAAAAUCAAGGUAAAUGAGAAUCACGGUUGCUGCUUAUUCUCUUCUAGAAGCUUUUUGGGGGACGAAAGGAGUGUUAAAAUCCGAUUUUCUAAUGAAAAUUGCAAAGUCAAAAAGUAAGUCUGUAGCACAGAUUGCCUUGAGAUGGGCUUAUGAGCAAUGGGUGCUUAUUGUGGUGAAUAGAUUCAACAAAGAGAGACUAAAGCAGAAUCUUGAAAUUGGCAAACCUUGCGCAGUUCUUUAUCUCUGAAGCUAUCCCUUUCAAGACAGUCCAGGAGCUCUGGGAUGGAGAACUUUGAAAAAAGCUUUCUUGCCGGGUUAUGCUUUCCAAAUUUUAUACAUACUUGUUAUGUAAUAAUUCCUAUAACGCACAUUUGUUUUCUGUAGUAAGGAAAUAAUAGUUUGAACAACUUCUUUAAAAUUAUAUUUUUCUUAACAAAUAUAAUUAACUUUUUUUUUUAGUUUUAUGUUCUAGAAAUUGUGCAUUGUUUAUAAACAUAUACUCAUAAAGAUUUAAGAAAGACAACAACCAAAUAUUAGAGAAUUAUGUUUUCAACGCACAUUAAUUUUAGA